rnacentral:rRNA from 1 species
CACGUAGGGUGCGAGCGUUGUCCGGAAUUAUUGGGCGUAAAGAGCUCGUAGGCGGUGUGUCGCGUCGGCCGUGAAAACCUGCAGCUUAACUGUGGGCUUGCGGUCGAUACGGGCAUCACUGGAGUUCGGCAGGGGAGACUGGAAUUCCUGGUGUAGCGGUGAAAUGCGCAGAUAUCGGGAGGAAUACCGAUGGCGAAGGCAGGUCUCUGGGCUAUAACUGACGCUCAUGCACGAAAGCGUGGGGAGCAAACAGG